rnacentral:rRNA from 1 species
GGUUAAGUUAGAAAGGGCGCACGGUGGAUGCCUUGACACUAGGAGUCGAUGAAGGACGGGACUAACGCCGAUAUGCUUCGGGGAGCUGUAAGUAAGCUUUGAUCCGAAGAUUUCCGAAUGGGGAAACCCACCAUACGUAAUGGUAUGGUAUCCUUAUCUGAAUACAUAGGGUAAGGAAGACAGACCCAGGGAACUGAAACAUCUAAGUACCUGGAGGAAGAGAAAGCAAAUGCGAUUUCCUGAGUAGCGGCGAGCGAAACGGAACAUAGCCCAAACCAAGAGGCUUGCCUCUUGGGGUUGUAGGACAUUCUAUAUGGAGUUACAAAGGAACGAGGUAGACGAAGCGACCUGGAAAGGUCCGUCGUAGAGGGUAACAACCCCGUAGUCGAAACUUCGUUCUCUCUUGAAUGUAUCCUGAGUACGGCGGAACACGUGAAAUUCCGUCGGAAUCUGGGAGGACCAUCUCCCAAGGCUAAAUACUCCCUAGUGAUCGAUAGUGAACCAGUACCGUGAGGGAAAGGUGAAAAGCACCCCGGAAGGGGAGUGAAAGAGAUCCUGAAACCGUGUGCCUACAAAUAGUCAGAGCCCGUUAACGGGUGAUGGCGUGCCUUUUGUAGAAUGAACCGGCGAGUUACGAUCCCGUGCGAGGUUAAGCUGAAGAGGCGGAGCCGCAGCGAAAGCGAGUCUGAAUAGGGCGUUUAGUACGUGGUCGUAGACCCGAAACCAGGUGAUCUACCCAUGUCCAGGGUGAAGUUCAGGUAACACUGAAUGGAGGCCCGAACCCACGCACGUUGAAAAGUGCGGGGAUGAGGUGUGGGUAGCGGAGAAAUUCCAAUCGAACCUGGAGAUAGCUGGUUCUCCCCGAAAUAGCUUUAGGGCUAGCCUUAAGUGUAAGAGUCUUGGAGGUAGAGCACUGAUUGGACUAGGGGUCCUCAUCGGAUUACCGAAUUCAGUCAAACUCCGAAUGCCAAUGACUUAUCCUUAGGAGUCAGACUGCGAGUGAUAAGAUCCGUAGUCAAAAGGGAAACAGCCCAGACCGCCAGCUAAGGUCCCAAAGUGUGUAUUAAGUGGAAAAGGAUGUGGAGUUGCUUAGACAACUAGGAUGUUGGCUUAGAAGCAGCCACCAUUUAAAGAGUGCGUAAUAGCUCACUAGUCGAGUGACUCUGCGCCGAAAAUGUACCGGGGCUAAAUACACCACCGAAGCUGCGGAUUGAUACCGAAUGGUAUCAGUGGUAGGGGAGCGUUCUAAGGACAGUGAAGUCAGACCGGAAGGACUGGUGGAGUGCUUAGAAGUGAGAAUGCCGGUAUGAGUAGCGAAAGACGGGUGAGAAUCCCGUCCACCGAAUGCCUAAGGUUUCCUGAGGAAGGCUCGUCCGCUCAGGGUUAGUCAGGACCUAAGCCGAGGCCGACAGGCGUAGGCGAUGGACAACAGGUUGAUAUUCCUGUACCACCUCUUUAUCGUUUGAGCAAUGGAGGGACGCAGAAGGAUAGAAGAAGCGUGCGAUUGGUUGUGCACGUCCAAGCAGUUAGGCUGAUAAGUAGGCAAAUCCGCUUAUCGUAAAGGCUGAGCUGUGAUGGGGAAGCUCCUUAUGGAGCGAAGUCUUUGAUUCCCCGCUGCCAAGAAAAGCUUCUAGCGAGAUAAAAGGUGCCUGUACCGCAAACCGACACAGGUAGGCGAGGAGAGAAUCCUAAGGUGUGCGAGAGAACUCUGGUUAAGGAACUCGGCAAAAUGACCCCGUAACUUCGGGAGAAGGGGUGCUUUCUUAACGGAAAGCCGCAGUGAAUAGGCCCAAGCGACUGUUUAGCAAAAACACAGCUCUCUGCGAAGCCGUAAGGCGAAGUAUAGGGGGUGACACCUGCCCGGUGCUGGAAGGUUAAGGAGAGGGGUUAGCGUAAGCGAAGCUCUGAACUGAAGCCCCAGUAAACGGCGGCCGUAACUAUAACGGUCCUAAGGUAGCGAAAUUCCUUGUCGGGUAAGUUCCGACCCGCACGAAAGGUGUAACGAUUUGGGCACUGUCUCAACCAGAGACUCGGUGAAAUUAUAGUACCUGUGAAGAUGCAGGUUACCCGCGACAGGACGGAAAGACCCCGUGGAGCUUUACUGUAGCCUGAUAUUGAAUUUUGGUACAGUUUGUACAGGAUAGGCGGGAGCCUUUGAAACCGGAGCGCUAGCUUCGGUGGAGGCGCUGGUGGGAUACCGCCCUGACUGUAUUGAAAUUCUAACCUACGGGUCUUAUCGACCCGGGAGACAGUGUCAGGUGGGCAGUUUGACUGGGGCGGUCGCCUCCUAAAGUGUAACGGAGGCGCCCAAAGGUUCCCUCAGAAUGGUUGGAAAUCAUUCGUAGAGUGCAAAGGCAUAAGGGAGCUUGACUGCGAGACCUACAAGUCGAGCAGGGACGAAAGUCGGGCUUAGUGAUCCGGUGGUUCCGCAUGGAAGGGCCAUCGCUCAACGGAUAAAAGCUACCCCGGGGAUAACAGGCUUAUCUCCCCCAAGAGUCCACAUCGACGGGGAGGUUUGGCACCUCGAUGUCGGCUCAUCGCAUCCUGGGGCUGUAGUCGGUCCCAAGGGUUGGGCUGUUCGCCCAUUAAAGCGGUACGCGAGCUGGGUUCAGAACGUCGUGAGACAGUUCGGUCCCUAUCCGUCGUGGGCGUAGGAAAUUUGAGAGGAGCUGUCCUUAGUACGAGAGGACCGGGAUGGACGCACCGCUGGUGUACCAGUUGUUCUGCCAAGGGCAUAGCUGGGUAGCUAUGUGCGGAAGGGAUAAGUGCUGAAAGCAUCUAAGCAUGAAGCCCCCCUCAAGAUGAGAUUUCCCAUAGCGUAAGCUAGUAAGAUCCCUGAAAGAUGAUCAGGUUGAUAGGUUCGAGGUGGAAGCAUGGUGACAUGUGGAGCUGACGAAUACUAAUAGAUCGAGGACUUAACCAU